AACGAACGUUGGCGGCGUGGAUGAGGCAUGCAAGUCGAACGCGAAAGCCGCAAGGUGAGUAGAGUGGCGGACGGGCGAGUAACACGUAAUCAAGCUACCUGCGAGACGGGAAUAACCUCGGGAAACCGAGGCUAAGACCCGAUGGUCUUCAUGGACCGCAUGGUCUGGGAAGUAAAUGGGCGGGAUCCUUCGGGAUCGCCUGCUCGCAGAGGUGAUUGCGGCCCAUCAGCUAGUUGGUAGGGUAAUGGCCUACCAAGGCAACGACGGGUAGCCGGCCUUAGAGGGUGGUCGGCCGCACUGGGACUGAGACACUGCCCAGACUCCUACGGGAGGCUGCAGUCGAGAAUCUUCCGCAAUGGGCGCAAGCCUGACGGAGCGACGCCGCGUGGAGGACGAAGGCCUGGUU
rnacentral:rRNA from 1 species